rnacentral:rRNA from 1 species
GUAUGCCUACGGGGCGCAGCAGUGAGGAAUAUUGGUCAAUGGUCGGGAGACUGAACCAGCCAAGCCGCGUGAGGGAGGAAGGUACAGAGUAUCGUAAACCUCUUUUGUCAGGGAACAAAGACUGGGACGCGUCCCCGGAUGAGUGUACCUGAAGAAAAAGCAUCGGCUAACUCCGUGCCAGCAGCCGCGGUAAUACGGAGGAUGCGAGCGUUAUCCGGAUUUAUUGGGUUUAAAGGGUGCGCAGGCGGUCUGUUAAGUCAGCGGUCAAAGCCCGGGGCUCAACCCCGGCCCGCCGUUGAAACUGG